CCUACGGGGGGCAGCAGUGGGGAAUAUUGCACAAUGGGGGAAACCCUGAUGCAGCGACGCCGCGUGAGUGAAGAAGUAAUUCGUUAUUUAAAGCUCUAUCAGCAUGGAAGAAAAUUACGGUACCUGAGUAAGAAGCCCCGUCUAACUACGUUCCAGCAGCCGCGGUAAUACGGAGGGGGCAAGCGUUAUCCGGAUUUACUGGGUGUAAAGGGAGCGUAGACGGCAGUGCAAGUCUGGAGUGAAAGGCGGGGGCUCAACCCGCGGACUGCUGUGGAAACUGUACGGCUGGAGUGCAGGAGAGGUAAGUGGAAUUCCUAGUGUAGCGGUGAAAUGCGGAGAUAUUAGGAGGAACACCAGUGGCGAAGGCGGCUUACUGGACUGUAACUGACGUUGAGGCUCGAAAGCGUGGGGAGCAAACAGGAUUAGAUACCCUGGUAGUC
rnacentral:rRNA from 1 species